rnacentral:pre_miRNA from 7 species
UUCUUGGGGUUCUGGGUGACCCCAAAAUCCAAGACAAGCCCCCAAGAUGUAGGGCUCCAAAUAUGGGGACCCCCUACUCUAGUCCAGGGACAGGAUGCACCCAUGAACACAAGAAUCC